CCUACGGGAGGCAGCAGUGAGGAAUAUUGGUCAAUGGCCGAGAGGCUGAACCAGCCAAGUCGCGUGAGGGAAGACGGCCCUACGGGUUGUAAACCUCUUUUGUCGGGGAGCAAAGCGAGUCACGUGUGACUCAUUGAGAGUAACCGAAGAAAAAGCCUCGGCUAACUCCGUGCCCGCAGCCGAGGUAAUACGGAAGGUCCGGGCGUUAUCCGGAUUUAUUGGGGUUAAAGGGAGCGUAGGCCGCAUGGCAAGCGUGCUGGGAAAUGUGCGGGCUCAACCCGGGCCUUGCAGCGCGAACUGGCGUGCUUGAGUCCGCGGAAAGCAGGCGGAAUUCGUCGUGUAGCGGUGAAAUGCUUAGAUAUGACGAAGAACCCCGAUUGCGAAGGCAGCUUGCUGCAGCGGAACUGACGCUGAUGCUCGAAAGCGCGGGUAUCGAACAGGAUUAGAUACCCCAGUAGUC
rnacentral:rRNA from 1 species